rnacentral:rRNA from 1 species
CAUCCUACGGGACGCAGCAGUCGGGAAUAUUGCGCAAUGGAGGAAACUCUGACGCAGUGACGCCGCGUAUGGGAAGAAGGUUUUCGGAUUGUAAACCAUUGUCGUUAGGGAAGAAGAAGUGACAGUACCUAAGGAGGAAGCUCCGGCUAACUAUGUGCCAGCAGCCGCGGUAAUACAUAGGGAGCGAGCGUUAUCCGGAUUUAUUGGGUGUAAAGGGUGCGUAGACGGGAAUACAAGUUGGUUGUGAAAGCCUUCGCUUUAACUGAGAA